CAGUCGCCGCGGGAAUACGAAGGGGGCUAGCGUUGUUCGGAUUUACUGGGCGUAAAGGGCGCGUAGGCGGACUGAUAAGUCAGGGGUGAAAUCCCAAGGCUCAACCUUGGAACUGCCUUUGAUACUGUUUGUCUUGAGUUCGAGAGAGGUAAGUGGAACUGCGAGUGUAGAGGUGAAAUUCGUAGAUAUUCGCAAGAACACCAGUGGCGGAGGCGGCUUACUGGCUCGAAACUGACGCUGAGGCGCGAAAGCGUGGGGAGCAAACAGGAUUAGAUACCCCUGUAGUCCCUGUCUCUUAUAC
rnacentral:rRNA from 1 species